ACUCCUACGGGAGGCAGCAGUGGGGAAUAUUGCACAAUGGGCGCAAGCCUGAUGCAGCCAUGCCGCGUGUGUGAAGAAGGCCUUCGGGUUGUAAAGCACUUUCAGUCNUGAGGAAAGGUAGUGUAGUUUAAAUAGCUGCAUUAUUUUGANGUUUAGCGACAGAAGAAGCACCGGCUAACUCCGUGCCAGCAGCCGCGGUAAUACGGAGGGUGCGAGCGUUAAUCGGAAUUACUGGGCGUAAAGCGCAUGCAGGUGGUUUUGUUAAGUCAGAUGUGAAAGCCCGGGGCUCAACCUCGGAAUUGCAUUUGAAACUGGCAGACUAGAGUACUGUAGAGGGGGGGUAAAUUUUCAGGUGUAGCGGUGAAAUGCGUAGAGAUCUGAAGGAAUACCGGUGGCGAAGGCGGCCCCCUGGACAGAUACUGACACUCAGAUGCGAAAGCGUGGGGAGCAAACAGGAUUAGAUACCCUGGUAGCUACGAGU
rnacentral:rRNA from 1 species